GAUGAACGCUAGCGGCAGGCUUAACACAUGCAAGUCGAGGGGUAUAGGCUUUCGGGCCUAGAGACCGGCGCACGGGUGCGUAACGCGUAUGCAAUCUGCCUUACACUAAGGGAUAGCCCAGAGAAAUUUGGAUUAAUACCUUAUAGUAUAUUGAUGUGGCAUCACAAUGAUAUUAAAGAUUUAUCGAUGUAAGAUGGGCGUGCGUCCCAUUAGCUAGUUGGUGUGGUAACGGCAUACCAAGGCAAUGAUGGGUAGGGGUCCUGAGAGGGAGAUCCCCCACACUGGUACUGAGACACGGACCAGACUCCUACGGGAGGCAGCAGUGAGGAAUAUUGGACAAUGGGCGCAAGCCUGAUCCAGCCACGCCGCGUGCAGGAUGACGGUCCUAUGGAUUGUAAACUGCUUUUGUACGGGAAGAAACACUCCUACGUGUAGGAGCUUGACGGUACCGUAAGAAUAAGGAUCGGCUAACUCCGUGCCAGCCGCCGCAGUAA
rnacentral:rRNA from 1 species